CGCGUAGGCGGCAAGGCAAGUCAGAUGUGAAAUCCCCGGGCUCAACCUGGGAAUUGCAUCUGAAGCUGCAGUGCUUGAGUCCUGGAGGGGAUAGUGGAAUUCCCAGUGUAGCGGUGAAAUGCGUAGAUAUUGGGAGGAACACCUGCGGCGAAGGCGGCUAUCUGGACAGUGACUGACGCUGAUGCGCGAAAGCCAGGGGAGCGAACG
rnacentral:rRNA from 1 species